rnacentral:rRNA from 1 species
UACAGAGGUCUCAAGCGUUGUUCGGAUUCAUUGGGCGUAAAGGGUGUGUAGGUGGCGCCGUAAGUCGGGUGUGAAAUUUCGGAGCUUAACUCCGAAACUGCAUUCGAUACUGCCGUGCUUGAGGACUGGAGAGGAGACUGGAAUUUACGGUGUAGCGGUGAAAUGCGUAGAUAUCGUAAGGAAGACCAGUGGCGAAGGCGGGUCUCUGGACAGUUCCUGACGCUGAAGCACGAAGGCCAGGGGAGCAAACGGG